UCAUUCCGCACCCAAGGCCCUUUUACAUGUUGCGUUUCUGGAAAAUAAUAUGCAGAUCUUUGUGAAAACCCUAACAGGCAAGACGAUUACUCUUGAGGUUGAGAGUUCCGACACAAUUGAUAAUGUCAAGUCCAAGAUCCAAGACAAGGAGGGCAUCCCACCGGACCAGCAGCGGCUUAUUUUCGCCGGAAAACAGUUGGAGGAUGGUAGAACCCUAGCCGACUACAACAUUCAAAAGGAGUCUACUCUGCACCUCGUCCUCCGUCUCCGUGGCGGUGGAACUUGGAGGAUUCCUUUCGUUGCUAAUCACUUGGUGAAAAAAAUUUCGCAGCUUAACCAAAAAGCGGAGAAGGAAUUGAUAAAAACUUGGUCCCGGGGUUCUACUAUUAUUCCUGAAAUGGUGGGCCAUCGGAUUGCUGUGUACAAUGGUAAGAAACACGUGCCUUUUCGUAUAUCGGAGCAGAUGGUUGGCCAUAAAUUGGGAGAACUUCGCCCUCGUCGUCAAGCAAGAAGAGAAAGAGAAGUUCAGCAGAAGAAGGGAACGAAGAAGAAAUGAGAGACAACAGGGAAACGUCAGGAAGUUUUUCUAGUUAUGAAGUUCAGGAUAAUUUCUCAUUAUGAACUAUUUCUAGUUAUGAAUAAAAUUGUGACAUUAAUGCAGUUGUGUCUUUUGCUAUUGGAUGUUCUCAAUUGGCAUUGAGAAUGAAAUCCUUGAGAUAACAUACCUUCCAGUUAGAAUGAACUUAAGUUUUUACCAUCUCACUGUUUAAAGCUUAGGUCUCUGCCCAUCUUACUUUUGUUGUAUCUUCGAAUGUAGAGAACACUGAUUAUGUUAGGAUUUUGUGUUGAAAUUAUUUUUGGCAUUCGUCUGUGAUUGGCAAUUUGUUCCAUUGAGCUAUUUCGGUUAUUUGUUGGGUUCAUUAAGUUCAUUCCUUCCAAUUUGCGUUGGAAGGUGUACUGAUUUUUUAUGGUUGUGGGAUUGUUAGAUUGUU
rnacentral:lncRNA from 1 species